CUCUUGUAAUGGGGAAAAUAUUUUAAAGUAUUAAAUGCUUGUGGUUUUCAUUCAAUGCCUCCAUAAAUCAGGUACCCUACAGUCAUUCCACCAUUAUUGCUCCAGUGAAGGGUGAAUGCCACCUUGAGAAGGAAUAUGAUAUGGGACAGGAGAAGACUAAGCUAUAUGAGAAGACGAGGUGGGAACCCACUUCCUGGACCGGCAGCAGUGAAGAAGAAAAUGAAGGGCACAAAUAUGUAAGGGAAGCAGGCAACGUGCCACAGGUGUUCUGACUGCCCCUGCAGGGAACACGUGCCAAGGCCACAGUCUCCAAAUCACAAAGAAAAUAAAAGCAACAAUAAAGCUGGCCUUUCUAUGUCGAAAGCCUGAUCAUGGAGGAAGCAUGGUCCUGUUGGCGAGGCUGCAUGCUGUCCGUCAGCGGAUCCAGGAAGGCGAUUAUCUAGACACACAAGACUUUUCUGAACAAUCUGGGAAGAGAAGAGAGGCCUCAAAGACACACUUGGAGAGGUGGAAGGCAUCAGCCCUGUGAGGGAGAUCAUUGCAGCGUUUCCACAGUUACAGGCCUGGCUGCGAGACUUGUAUAAAACCCACACAAAUCAACACUGGAGCCUGAAAGUCCCUGAACGAGCUGAUUGAAAUACUUCUGCGCUUCAGCAAAACCUUGAGGGGAAAAUGGUUCUCUGUAUCACAUUGCUAAUGUCUCCGAGCUUCUCCUUUCCUCUGCCUGCCUCACCUCUCUCCCUGUCUAGCCCGUCCUCGGGAGAAUCAGAGCAGGAACUGUUAAUGGGUGAGGACCAAACUCUAUGUGCCAGGCUCUAGGCUGGGAGCUCUGACAUUACCUCCUUCCAAUCUCAAGUCAACCAAACCGAGGAAGAAAUAGAGAUUCAGAAACAAAAAGAGGCUUCAGGAUUUGAAUCUGGGACUCUCUACCUCCAAUGCCGUAGUUCUUUCCACUAAGAAAACCUCAAGCUCCCAAUACCCUCUUUCUCUCCUGUCUCUGCCAGCAUCUCAACUCCAGCACAGACAGCACUCUCAAAUCUCUUCUGGAACA
rnacentral:lncRNA from 13 species